rnacentral:rRNA from 1 species
UGCAAGCCGCGGCGGUAAUACGACGGUACCUCGCGUAGUUCGGAAUUACUGGGCUUAAAGAGCUCGUAGGUGGUUUAAAACAGUUGAUGGUGAAAUCCCAAGGCUCAACCUUGGAACUGCCAUCAAAACUUUUUAGCUAGAGUGUGAUAGAGGUAAGUGGAAUUUCUAGUGUAGAGGUGAAAUUCGUAGAUAUUAGAAAGAACACCAAAUGCGAAGGCAACUUACUGGGUCACUACUGAAACUGAGGAGCGCAAGCAUGGGUCGCGAAGAGGAUUAGAUA